rnacentral:lncRNA from 1 species
CCUAUCCUACCCCCACUAUAUAUGAAUAUAUUAACAUAACAAUCUGUGAAACCUAGCCGUCUCCCUUCUCCUUCUUCUUUCUCUAACUCGAUCUAACCAGUAUCCAUCUUCAUCUCCAGUUGGUGCCUUGGUGGUAGCUUCAUACUUCAUUUUUAAGAAAAAAGGAUUGAAGAAAGCUGGUAGUUUCAUACUUCAUCUCCAAUUGGUAAUUUGCUAAAUUUUUGUUUGAAAUUUCUAUGUUCCAAUUUACAGGUUUUGAUUCAUGAAUUUGAGUUUUAUGAUUAAU